rnacentral:rRNA from 1 species
GACGAACGCUGGCGGCGUGCUUAACACAUGCCAGUCGAGCGGAAAGGCCACUUCGGUGGUACUCGAGCGGCGAACGGGUGAGUAACACGUGAGUAAUCUGCCCUUGGCUUUGGGAUAGCCACCGGAAACGGUGAUUAAUACCGGAUACGACCACUCCAGGCAUCUGGUGGUGGUGGAAAGUUUUUCGGCCAGGGAUGUGCUCGCGGCCUAUCAGCUUGAUGGUGAGGUAAUGGCUCACCAUGGCUUCGACGGGUAGCCGGCCUGAGAGGGUGACCGGUCACACUGGGACUGAGACACGGCCCAGACUCCUACGGGAGGCAGCAGUGGGGAAUAUUGGACAAUGGGCGGAAGCCUGAUCCAGCAACGCCGCGUGAGGGAUGACGGCCUUCGGGUUGUAAACCUCUUUCGGUAGGGACGAAGCGCAAGUGACGGUACCUACUAAAGAAGCACCGGCCAACUACGUG